ensembl:lncRNA
GUACGAAGGUACGAAGUGGUAAAGUCGCAAAUCUCCCAGCUUUCUUGCGGCAUUUCACUGAGAAACACAAAUGGCAAACUGGAAGGCUGGAGCAAAGGAAAUACGUCACGUUCUCGCUGAAGCUGGUCGUUCGUACCAGCGUACCAUCCAAAUGGAUAGCAGCAUUUCCCAGCUGGAUCACCUCCUCUAAGUGGCCGUGGAGUUCUUUGCUUCACGACUUAGCACAUCCUAGAGGUGAACCCCCUGGCCUCCAUGGACUUCACUCUGUGGCUCUGAUAGGAGCCGGGAUCCGCUGUAGUCGGAGUCUGUAUGGAGGUGUCCGCCGCGUCCAUGUCGUCCUGUAGGUCACUGUCCUGAUGGAGGCAGAGAGGAGGAGUCUUUAUUGAAGUGCUGUUUGACCGUUCACACACUACCAGAGGACGGGUUAAUGGAUCCCAGCUGGUGCUUCAGGAGGCGGACCAGUCGCCGCUACUCCAGAAAAGUCCAAAUUUAGAAGAAAUUGUCAAAAGAUUUUCCCUCCCUUUUCAUUAAAGGAACAAUCCCCUUCUCCGCUCCGCCCACUGCCGUUGGUUCCUGUUGCCUUCUCCUUUAUCUCCCAUUUUAAAUCUAAUGCCUGAUUACCUCUCAGGUCAGCUCAUUGGUUCUUCCUCUUUACUCUCAGCUGUUUCUCGACCGCUCUUGGUGAUUUUUGUGGUUUCCUUUUCCAUCAUUCCUUCUCUCCCACUCAUCCAUUUCUCUACUGCCCGCCACACACACACACACACACACACACACACACACACACACCACACCACACCACACCACACCACACCACACCACACCACACCACACACAUACAAACACAAACUUCCCAGACAUUAACACAGGGCCCAGGUCAAGGGAGUCCCACGAUAAUAACCAAUCGGAGCUGGUGGGGGUUCGGUCGGGUCCCACUAAGCCCAUCCCCAUGUUACC